CGGGGGGUUGGCAGCGCUGGAUCUAGGGGGGUUAGUUCAAGCCCCCCCUCUACCUCCCCCCCGGCGUGUCUGGCAAGGGCCCUGAUGCAAACGAGGAGUCAACAAGCCAGGGAGGCCAGAGGCAGGGAAGCUGCAAGCCAAACCUCUGUGCGCAGAGGGUAACGGACACAUGGAAAGCAUUACCAGCCCGGCCCCGAGCAGCCGGGCCUCAGACAUGGACGGCGGGAGGAACGGGGCGCAGAAAUGCAGAGGCUUCCCCGAGCAUCUUCAGUGCAAGGAAGCCCCGAGGACCGUGGGUUGCAGCCGAGCCCCAGACUCGGCAGAGCCGGCAGCCCGCUCGCUGGGUUUGUGCCUCCCGGAGCUGCGACCAGCCGUUUCUGGACGUAACAUGUGUGCUGUUAGAUGUAAGUCACCCGAGCAGCUCAGCUGGUGAAUCAGCAGCCAUCCUGGUCCAGGGACAGUACAUGUUCGAAGAGGUCCCGUAUCCCGAACCAGUGCAAUA
rnacentral:lncRNA from 1 species